AUUGAACGCUGGCGGCAGGCCUAACACAUGCAAGUCGAGCGGAUGAAGGUAGCUUGCUACCUGAUUCAGCGGCGGACGGGUGAGUAAUGCCUAGGAAUCUGCCUGGUAGUGGGGGACAACGUUUCGAAAGGAACGCUAAUACCGCAUAAGUCCUACGGGAGAAAGGGGGGGAUCUUCGGACCUCACGCUAUCAGAUGAGCCUAGGUACGAUUAGAUAGUUGGUGAGGUAAAGGCCCACCAAGGCGACGAUCGGUAACUGGUCUGAGAGGAUGAUCAGUCACACUGGAACUGAGACACGGUCCAGACUCCUACGGGAGGCAGCAGUGGGGAAUAUUGGACAAUGGGCGAAAGCCUGAUCCAGCCAUGCCGCGUGUGUGAAGAAGGUCUUCGGAUUGUAAAGCACUUUAAGUUGGGAGGAAGGGCAGUAAGUUAAUACCUUGCUGUUUUGACGUUACCGAAAGAAUAAGCACCGGCUAACUUCGUGCCAGCCGCCGCAGUAAUAC
rnacentral:rRNA from 1 species